AUAAAUUAUAAUUUUUUUAUUAUUAGGUAUUGCAUAUCAUUUAAAGAAAAUUUUAUUUUAAUAAAAUAUAAAAUUAAAAGGUAGAAUUUUUAUUAUUUUUAUUGUUUCAUAAUAAAAAUUAUAAAAUUUAGGGUUGAAAAGUCGACUUUUAAGAUAUUUGUUUAAAUAGUUAUUUAUUAGAAAUUUAUGUUAAAAAAUAAUUUUUAUAUAAAAAGUAAAAGUUGAAGUAUUUUAAUGGUUAGUUUUACAACUGUUUAUGUAAUUUGAUAAGUGAAAUUAAAGGUAGCGGGUGUUAUUAAUGUUUUAAUAACUAAAUUAUUUUAGAAUUAGUAGUAAAAUUUUAAAUUAUUUAAAGUUUUUUAAUUUAAUAAAAUAACUAAAGAAUUAAUCAAAUGUUUAUUAAAGACUUAGACUUUUUAAUAAAGUUUGCUUCUGCCCAAUGAAUAUAAUUAAAUGGCACUCUUAGCGU
rnacentral:rRNA from 1 species